rnacentral:rRNA from 1 species
CCUACGGGUGGCAGCAGUGAGGAAUAUUGGUCAAUGGACGAGAGUCUGAACCAGCCAAGUAGCGUGAAGGAUGACUGCCCUAUGGGUUGUAAACUUCUUUUAUAUGGGAAUAAAACGUUCCACGUGUGGGAUUUUGUAUGUACCAUAUGAAUAAGGAUCGGCUAACUCCGUGCCAGCAGCCGCGGUAAUACGGAGGAUCCGAGCGUUAUCCGGAUUUAUUGGGUUUAAAGGAAGCGUAGGUGGAUUGUUAAGUCAGUUGUGAAAGUUUGCGGCUCAACCGUAAAAUUGCAGUUGAAACUGGCAGUCUUGAGUACAGUAGAGGUGGGCGGAAUUCGUGGUGUAGCGGUGAAAUGCUUAGAUAUCACGAAGAACUCCGAUUGCGAAGGCAGUUCACUGGACUGCAACUGACACUGAGGCUCGAAAGUGUGGGUAUCAAACAGGAUUAGAUACCCCUGUAGUC